GACCAGACUCGCCCACGGGGUUCAGCCGGCAUUCGUGCCGGUGUACUUCCCCGCGGGCGGGCCAGCGUCGGUUUGGGCGGCCGGUCAAAGGCCCUCGGAAUGUAACGCCCCCCGGGGCGUCUUAUAGCCGAGGGUGCCAUGCGGCCAGCACAGACCGAGGAACGCGCUUCGGCUCGGACGCUGGCAUAAUGGUCGUAAA
rnacentral:rRNA from 1 species